ACCCGCUGAACUUAAGCAUAUCAGUAAGCGGAGGAAAAGAAACUAACUAGGAUUCCCCGAGUAGCGGCGAGCGAAAGGGGAGAAGCCCAGCGCCGAAGCCCGCGCGUCUCUUGACCGCAGUGCAAUGUGGCGUAUCGGCGGCGACUCGCCGCGUCUGCUCUGGCACGAGUACCUCUGAAUGGGUCUGCCCGCAGCGGGUGUCAGGCCUCUACUUGCCGAAUGAGCUGGCGUGUCCUGUUGUCGUCGCGGAGUCGGGUUGCUUGAGAGUGCAGCCCAAAGUGGGUGGUAAGCUCCAUCUAAGGCUAAAUACCUAGUGCGAGACCGAUAGCAAACAAGUACCGUGAGGGAAAGUUGCAAAGAACUUUGAAAAGAGAGUUCAAGAGUACGUGAAACCGUUCAGAGGCAAACGGACGGAACUGGGCGAUUCUGUUGCUGCCAUUCAGCCGAGGAAGCCCUCGCGGGCAGACUCGGUGCACUUGACAGUGGCGGAGCGCGACGACCGCCUGUCGGGUCGUCAGAAGCCCGGCGGCAAGGUGGCGACGCGUUCGCGCGUCGUGUUACAGGCCGCCGCGGCGUUGGCUGACUCGGCGGGCGAGGAGCGCCUGCGGUGCACUCCCCUCUGACGGGAGUGGCCCGACGUGGUGGGCUUGCGGACGCCGGCGACGAACUGCUCGCAGUUUGACGCCGCGCGCGCCGUCUGUCGCGCCGCGCGGUGCCACGAGGCACCCAGGGUCCGGGUCGCGUGGUUCCCGGCACUCCGUCCGACCCGUCUUGAAACACGGACCAAGGAGUUGAGCACGCGCGCGAGUCGAUGGGCUCGUUGAACCCCAGUGGCGUAGCUAAGGCAAAACGGGCGUGAUCCGGCACUGGCGUGUCGGCGCAACGCCGGCCCGCAGGCGACUCGAUGCAAGUGCCUGCGGUGCAAGAGCGUGUGUGCUCAGACCCGAAAGGUGGUGAACUAUGCUUGAGCAGGGCGAAGCCAGAGGAAACUCUGGUGGAGGCUCGCAGCGAUCCUGACGUGCAAAUCGGUCGUCAAACUUGAGCAUAGGGGCGAAAGACUAAUCGAACCGCCUAGUAGCUGGUUCCCUCCGAAGUUUCCCUCAGGAUAGCUGGCACUCGGGAUAAAUGGUUUUAUCCGGUAAAGCGAAUGAUUAGAGGCAUUGGGGACGAAACGUCCUCAACCUAUUCUCAAACUUUAAAUGGGUAAGAGGCGCGACCCUUCCUGAUCGGGGUCGCGUGCUUGAACAGAGAGUGCCCAGUGGGCCGUUUUUGGUAAGCAGAACUGGCGCUGUGGGAUGAACCAAACGUGCGGUUAGGGUGCCUAACGCACGCUCAUGAGACACCACAAAAGGUGUUGGUUGAUAUAGACAGCAGGACGGUGGCCAUGGAAGUCGGAAUCCGCUAAGGAGUGUGUAACAACUCACCUGCCGAAUCAACUAGCCCUGAAAAUGGAUGGCGCUGGAGCGUGCGACCCAUACCGCACCGUCGGGGCAAUGCGUGCGAAAUGCCAGGCCCCGACGAGUAGGAGGGCGUGUCGGUGGCGUUGAAGCGUAGUGCGCGAGCACGCGUGGAGCCGCCUUCAGUGCAGAUCUUGGUGGUAGUAGCAAGUAUACAAAUGAGAACUUUGUAGACCGAAGUGGAGAAGGGUUCCAUGUGAACAGCAGUUGGACAUGGGUCAGUCGGCCCUAAGAGAUCGGAAAAUUCCGUUCUGAACGGGGAGCUUGGAGAGCUGAGCGUGCCGAAUUGUGGGCGAGCUGUCACGCGCACCAUGCGGAGCACGGGCCGGCCGGCCGCGCCGUCUGAUCAACUCGCCGCGCGCAAGCGCGCGAGAGAGCGGUCGCGAUGCUGUGAGUCGGGUCGAGAGCGUGCGGGCAGCAAAAACUCUCUUACUUGAGCGAGAGAGCGCACACACAGAAAUUCGGAGAGCACACGCCGAGCAAACCUCGCGCGAGCCCCGAUGCGAUCGAAAGGGAAUCGGGUUAAUAUUCCCGAACCUGGCAGUGGAGAUUGGGCCCUCGGGCCCCAGUGCGGUAACGCAACCGAACUCGGAGACGCCAGCGUCGAUCCCGGGAAGAGUUCUCUUUUCUUUGUUAGGAGCGGACUCCCUGGAAUUGGCUUGUCCAGAGAUAGGGACGUUGCAUCCGUAAAGCGUCGCGCCUCACGCGGCGUCCGGUGCAUCGGCGUUGGCCCUUGAAAAUCCGAGGGAGGCAGUGUAAUUUUCACUCCAGGCCGUACCCGAAUCCGCAGCAGGUCUCCAAGGUGAACAGCCUCUGGUCGAUAGAACAAUGUAGGUAAGGGAAGUCGGCAAAUCCGAUCCGUAACUUCGGGAUAAGGAUUGGCUCUGAGGUGCGGGCUGCUUCGGGUCGCGGCAAGAAGCGGAUCGUGCGUUGGUUGGACUGGGCGCGCUCUCGGGCGCGUUCGGACCGCCGCCAGCGCGCGUCCGUGGGAGGCCGUGGCUUUCGCCGGCGCGUGCUCACGCGCGCGUCGGCUUCGUUCGGCC
rnacentral:rRNA from 1 species